rnacentral:rRNA from 1 species
GCGAACGCUUGCGGCAGGCCUAACCCCUGCCAGUCGCACGAACCUUUCGGGGUUAGUGGCGGACGGGUGAGUAACACGUGGGAACGUGCCUUUAGGUUCGGAAUAAUUCAGGGAAACUUGUGCUAAUACCGAAUGUGCCCUUCGGGGGAAAGAUUUAUCGCCUUUAGAGCGGCCCGCGUCUGAUUAGCUAGUUGGUUGAGGUAAUGGCUCACCAAGGCGACGAUCAGUAGCUGGUCUGAGAGGAUGAUCAGCCACAUUGGGACUGAGACACGGCCCAAACUCCUACGGGAGGCAGCAGUGGGGAAUCUUGCGCAAUGGGCGAAAGCCUGACGCAGCCAUGCCGCGUGAAUGAUGAAGGUCUUAGGAUUGUAAAAUUCUUUCACCGGGGACGAUAAUGACGGUACCCGGAGAAGAAGCCCCGGCUAACUUCGUG